rnacentral:lncRNA from 1 species
CGGCGCGGCUCUCCAUCCCUCAGCUUCCCCCCUACGCCAGCCUCUUCCCUGCCUUCCUCCCCUUCUCAGUGAUUCCAGGACCCAGGCAGAAAGUCACACAAAACACUUUGUGUCUGUCAGCAGAUUCCUGGAAGGUCACGCUGAAUGAUGAAUGCUCCCGGGUAGGAUUGGAGGGUUCUUUUUUCUUAUUUUCUUAUUUAUUUUUUUCUUUUCUUUCUUUUUUUGUCUCCCAUGAAUUGCAUCACCGGGCAGCCUCUUGGCUGUAUUCAUCAGACUCCUGCGGUUUUCAGACCUUUCCCAAUUGUUCUGCGUCUGCUUCCUUUCCAGGCCCCUUCUGGCCAAAGCAGGAUAUCCAGGGUUGGCUGUGGCCAGGGAGCUGGGCCUUGUCCAGCACUUUCCAUAGCCGCUCCUGCCCAUCCCUUCCGCCCUUCCCAGAGCUGGAACAGAAGCGGGCCUGGGGACAGAAAAACUGACAUUGCCGUGACCCAGGCGACUGUCUCCUGGCCUCCAUUCCCAUUCCAAUAGAUUCAUCCGUUCCUGGUAGAAAAGGAAUCCCGAGUUGAAACAUUACAUCAAACUGCUAGUCUGCACCCCGCACCAUGAAAUAUCAGCUUUAUUGGUUCCAUUCUUCAAGACAUUGCGAAAUAAUGCAAAGCACAUUGUGUAACCAGGAUACGGCAGAUUUCAACGCACCCCAUCUCAAAUGACCUUCUUGGUUUCCUCAGUAAGUGUAAAUUACUUAGUACCAGUGGAGUUAACUCAACUAUUAUUCACUCAAAACAACAUGGUUAUUAGUCAUUUAAUACAAAGCCCACAUGAGAUGCCUCUAGUAUAUAAAAUACGUUAUGGGGAAUUAUGCACUUAUUGAAGUCCUCUAAAGCAUGUGCUUGAAAAUUCAGGGAAUGGUCGCAUCAGCACAUCUAGAUUUUAAUUAAACUUGACAGUGAUCACAGUGUAAGUCUUUUGGUAAAUAAGGGGGAGGAUGUAUUGUUGUGUUUCUUUGGUGAACAAUAGGGGAAAACGAUAACGUAAUAAAGUUUGCAAAUCCCUUGCA